GAGAAGUUUUAGGCUGCUGUGGUCUGGCAUUUGGUCUGCAGCUUCUGAACACUGACAAAAAUAAAGUGAAGGGGUUUCUGCUCUUCAACAUGUGACUUGCAAAUGGCACAAGGACUACAUUGCAAAAUGCCAAGCUAAGGAGACACACAGGGCUU